rnacentral:rRNA from 1 species
ACGCGAAGAACCUUACCAGGUCUUGACAUCCUCUGACAAUCCUAGAGAUAGGACGUCCCCUUCGGGGGCAGAGUGACAGGUGGUGCAUGGUUGUCGUCAGCUCGUGUCGUGAGAUGUUGGGUUAAGUCCCGCAACGAGCGCAACCCUUGAUCUUAGUUGCCAGCAUUCAGUUGGGCACUCUAAGGUGACUGCCGGUGACAAACCGGAGGAAGGUGGGGAUGACGUCAAAUCAUCAUGCCCCUUAUGACCUGGGCUACACACGUGCUACAAUGGACAGAACAAAGGGCAGCGAAACCGCGAGGUUAAGCCAAUCCCACAAAUCUGUUCUCAGUUCGGAUCGCAGUCUGCAACUCGACUGCGUGAAGCUGGAAUCGCUAGUAAUCGCGGAUCAGCAUGCCGCGGUGAAUACGUUCCCGGGCCUUGUACACACC